rnacentral:rRNA from 1 species
CUCCUACGGGAGGCAGCAGUGGGGAAUUUUGGACAAUGGGGGAAACCCUGAUCCAGCCAUGCCGCGUGGGUGAAGAAGGCCUUCGGGUUGUAAAGCUCUUUUGGUCGGAAAGAAGGAGUUCGGGUGAAUAACCUGGAUUUUUGACGGUUACCGGCAGAAUAAGCACCGGCUAACUACGUGCCAGCAGCCGCGUAUAC